rnacentral:piRNA from 1 species
UUGGCUCUUGUUUUGUCCUCGGUGAAACUC